rnacentral:rRNA from 1 species
UACGUAGGUGGCAAGCGUUGCCCGGAUUUAUUGGGCGUAAAGCGAGCGCAGGCGGUUCCUUAAGUCUGAUGUGAAAGCCCACGGCUCAACCGUGGAAGGUCAUUGGAAACUGGGGAACUUGAGUGCAGAAGAGGAGAGUGGAAUUCCAUGUGUAGCGGUGAAAUGCGUAGAUAUAUGGAGGAACACCAGUGGCGAAGGCGACUCUCUGGUCUGUAACUGACGCUGAGGCUCGAAAGCGUGGGGAGCAAACAGGAUUAGA